UAUCCUAUGGGCUCCUGAUUGCCACAGGUGGGUGGGGAAAGGCUUUAUAGCAGAGCUGGCUGCCUUAAUGGAGGCUUUCUCUGAAGGUUGCAGCCAACAGCACCAGGACAAGGGAAGGCUGGUGAUGCGUGUUGCUUCUCAAGGGGUCCAACUCCUCGUGGAGCUUCUUGAGAACUUGUGGAAGGAUGUCCCAAACCAGCCAACAGAUCAAGGAGCAGCUGACGUGUGGACAAAGAAAAGAAGCUCUGAGGUGAGAAAAGAAAGUUGCUAUACAUAGGAUGUUGUACUCCUGUAUCAAAUAUUAUCAGCCAUUUACACCCUCAGUGCAUAGGACAUUUUCUCGUACACAUCACAGGGAUUAGAAAGGUUCUCUGAGUAACACAGAUGAGCUGAGAGGAAGAAAGCUAGAAAAGUCUUGAUCAAACUUCAGCCCAGUGAAGUACCUGAGUAAGGCUCGUAUUUCACCUCUUGGUUGACUCUGAAGUUGAGAAAGUACAUGCCCAGAAAGUAGUAGCUGGUUAAAAAAAACCAUUAUUUAGAUGAAUUAAAAUGUAUUCUUUUUAAAGAAGCUAAAUAGUGACCUUCUGUAAUGACAAAAAUGACGAAGCAGUUGGAGAUGAGACUGCCCUCUGUUUGAAAGACUUUAUCUCAUGUAUCUGUGAGGUCCCAGGCAAUCACACAAUUGGUGACAGUCCUGUAAGGCAGUGGAAGCACAUGGCUGCCCAUGACACCGUGCCCUCAGCAUCUCCCCAGUGGGGUGCUUAAGCACCCAACCCAACAUUACUGCGUUCAGCGUGGUUUUAUGGAGGAAACUGGUUUGAAUACUGCCAAGCGAGCAGCAAGGAUGGCUCUCAAUGCAGAAAUGGACUAAACACCUAAUGAAUCUAAAAAUAAAAUAAUAAAAAAAAAACAACGCUGAGAAGAGAUGCGAGCAGACUGAAUAGACAUCGCUGUGUAAGCAAAUAUAACUGAAUAUACUCCUGAGGAACAAAGGAAACAGUUCUUGAUGGGGUGACAACAGAUGUUCUCCAAAAAAAUUCUAACGGAGCAUUUCAAACACAAAGACUUUCCUGUGGAGCUGAGAAGUUUUGCUGGCAGACGCACUGGUAAUCCAUCUUUGGAAACAUAAUAAACCCUAACAUUUAAGGUGCUAUCACGUCCUGAAGGCAGAAGUGAUAUCUUCAUGUAGUGAGCGGUGGGUGGUGGUAGAGAGGGAAACAGUUGAGAUAACAACAUGCUGUCACAAGAAGUUGUUGUAGCGUGGAUUUAAAUGGCUGGAGGGGUAACUCGUCAGAGAACUUGUUCUAAGAUAGCCUUUAGAAAACGUGCUCUCUGUGCAAGUGAAAGGUAUGCAGGUUGAUCUCAUAGAACAAACACAAUCCAUAGCAACUGACAAAUUAUGUGGGCACACCUAAGUGCAGCCACUUGCACCAUGUGAAUGAGAGCAGAGUGUCCGAAGGCCAAUGCUCCUAAUGGCUACUGCCCUCCCACAUCAUGGCUAAGUAUAUCGCAGUAAACUCUUAAAGCAGAGCUUGGAGUCCUCUUUGCAAUGACUGACCUGCCCUGCUACUUUGGGAAGCUCUUGAUUUAAUUAUUUAAUUCCUGGCUGGGUUCUGCAGCAUCUUCCCUCACUGGCUUUGCACAGGCUUUUAAAUGUGAGGCACCUAGAAUUCUUUUUUAAACACUUCAUUUUUAUUUUAUUUCACUUUUUAAUGCCUAAGAUACAGAAUAAAGCUUCUGUCUUUUUGGACUCUUGAAAGAUCUCUUAAGCAUCUGCAAGUCAAACGUAUCGUUUUUCUGGAAACAAGGCAGGAGGCUGAACACAGUAUGUUGUUUAAUUGCUUUUGCUGCAUUUCAGCUAUUUUUGAGGAAAAGCUACAACCAAGAGAGAAGAUUAUUCCAGUGCAGUAGGAGCCAUCAGAACCACAGAAACACUAAGAUGGACAAGUUGAUUGACAGGUGAAUGCUAAAGCAGACAGCAACACAGAAAAUCAUCAUAGGACAGACGUUUUGGUAAAUAUUACCGUAGCCAAUUUAUUAUUAACACAGUGGGACAGCUUUACAUCUUGCAUCACACUUUUCACAGUCCUUAUGGUAAACGUGCCGUAUCUGACAAUUACAAGAUGAAAACAAAGACCUCACUAACUCUCUACUGGCCCCGCAGUACUAUCUACUUACUCAAUUAACCCUCUCCAAACUUCAGCUGUGCAACUGAGCAAGCGUGUUCAGAUAUUGUAAUGUAAUUUCAGUCAUGUCCUAUGCAAGCUGCAAAGGUUAUGUCACCUGUGACAUUAAUUUCUACAGGAGGCUGCAGAAAAUGAAGGGGGCUAUGGAGGAAGUGGAAUAUUGUUUGGGAAGAGGAUGAUGUAGAAUGCCAUCUAAAGAGUAGAAAAAAAACCUUGUGUUAAUGCUCAAAAUGCUGUUCUGACUGGUCGCCCUUCUUUCUUGCUGCUAUGACUAAACAGUGCAGUCCUGAGAACUCAGGAGUUAUUGUGAGACAUCAUCACAAAUAGAGGAUUGGGAUGAAAGAGUCCUAUAGUGGGUUUUUUUUAUCUUCUGGAUUGUGUCUGGAUAAAUCUUCUGUUUCCACAGAAAGACUGUAAAUUAACUCAGAAUAACCGAUCUUUCUCUUUGCCGACCACUUUAUUUCUGGGAGUAACAAUCUAUCUGACAGACCUCUUAACUAAUCAUAUUUUCAUCUGCUUCACACAAAAUGGACCCGGCAUUCUUUUAAAGAUAAUGAAGCACAAGAUGGACUGCUGCAGUCACUAAGUCAAGCCCUCUGCUACUUGUACAUAUGGAGAUCCAUUUUAAAAUGAAAUCUUAUGAGACGAGUUCCCCGAGAUCUCUUUUUUUUCUUUUUUCCAUAUUGAAUUGCACAUAGUAUUGUGCUAUUCUCAGAGCUGUAUUAUCAGCUGCAGGGUUAGAAAACAAAAAGCAGACAAGUCACAGGAUGAUAUGAGCCAUGGGAUUUUAUUUGAUUCAAGCAUUUAUUUUCCAUCCACUUCCUGUCUGGUUUUGAAAGUGCUCAUUUCAGAAACCAAAACUGACAUGCAUAAAGAGAACUUGGUGAAAGACAAAAGGGAGACGCAACAAAUAUCAGGCAAGUGAAUGAAGCUAAUGGAGUAUUUUUCUCUCUCUGAACCCACAAGUAGAGUAUGUUACCAAGUAUUCCAAAAUGAUGUCUUUUCAUGUGAAGGGAAGAAUUAGUGUUAAGUACAAAGUGUUGCAUGUGGUUGAUUCCCAUUAGGUCAUGUGUGUUGGGUUUCACUGAUUUGGAAAGCAAAACAGGAUUUUUAUUUUACAAAGCUUCCUGUGCACCAAGUCUUAAUGUGAUUUUAAAAGAGACUAACAACUGUGCACUUAGAAAUCAAUUCCAGCAUCUCAUUUUUGUAAA